rnacentral:lncRNA from 1 species
AAUACACAAAUUAAUUCAGAAAAAGGUGGCCUAUAAAGAUAAAUAAUUGUCCGUUACGAGCAAAUUCAGCGAUUAUUCAUUCAUUUUCUGGAGCAAUAUAUUGCAUCAGACAACAGACAGAAGAAACGACCUCCUCCGACUUUGAAACUACCGAAAAAGCAGUCUCGAAACACGUACAUAAUGUACUUGUGUUUUUGUCGUGAAAAUUAUCUAGAAAGUAGAGAACUUGAACAGCAUGUAAUGCUUGUAGGGCUUCACUGGAUUCACAAUCUGUGAAGGGAAGUUGGGAUGGUUAACAGAAUCAGGAAAUCCUUGAGUCUCUAGACAUAGAGCUCCAUGAGGUUUAUACAUAAAACCACCCUUUCCCUUCACGUUCAAAGUGUUGCUAGUGAAGAACUGCACACCAGGUUGAUUGGUUAAUAUCUCCAUUGCUCUUCCAGACUUCUCGUCAUGCACAAUUGCUGCUUUCCUCAACUUCUCGUUUCCACUUCCAUCAAGUGCGUAGUUGAUGUCAUAGCCCUUAGGGAGUUCGUUGAUCUUGCUGCCAAUGGUGUUGGGCUUGAGAAAAUCAAAGGGUGUUCCUUUCACUGUCACAAUUUCUCCUGUAGGAAUGAGCUUACUGUCAACAGGAGUGUAACGCGAAGCAAAAAUCUGAAUUUUUUCUGACAAGAUAUCGCCACUAUUGUGGCCACCAAGGUUCCAAAAGGCAUGGUUGACUAGAUUAACCGGCGUGGCCUUGUUUCGAGCUUUUGCUUCCAUUGUUAUAACAGUUGGUUGUCUCCAAGGAGCGUGUAGGUUGUUUUUACAAGGAGAUCACCAGGGAAUCCUGUGAAUAUGAAAAUAAUCUUCACAUUAAGUGUGUCAUUCAUGCUCUUAGAUAUAUCAUAGAUGUUAUAUGUGAGCCGCACCAGUGAGGAAAAUUAAAACUAUGGCCUUAACAGACUAAAUGUUCUUACCUUGUUCACCAUCAAAGCUGUGAUAAGCAAAGACAAUGUAAGGAACAGGACUAUCUGGGCUGUACUUUUCCACUUUCCAAACAACCUUACUGAAUCCUAUAGGCCCGCCUGAUCAUAUCCACAUAAGCAAGCAAUUCGUUCAGAAAGAAACAAGAAAUCUCAUGAAAAUGGUAGAAAAGCAAUCUGAGGAAAUUAAGCUUCCACUUUGCUAGGUGUAAUAUGAUGUAAGGUUACCAUGAAUCGUGUUAUUCCCUGAAUUAGCAGGUAGUUUGUAAACAGUUCCAUUCAAGGUAAACUGAGCAUUAGAGAUUCUAUUGGCAACCCGUCCCACAGUGGCCCCGAAGGGUGAUGAAGCAUUCUACACAAAAAGUUUAUUAAUUUCAUAGUAUAAUUCAAGGGAAAUUAUAAAUGGAAAAUAUUAGUACUUGACGUGAAACAAAGCAUAAAGUGUCUGACAGAAAUGCACCAACAGACAGAACAGUUUCUGCAUGUCAGAAGUGAAUUUACUUUUUUCUUUGAACAAAGGGAAGGCUUUCUUUUUUCUUUUCUUUUUUCUUAGGUUGCAGAAAAAGCAAUAAUUUCAAAGACGAAACAUUUCUUAAGAAGAACAAAACAAUUAUUAAAGUAUAAAAUGGGUCAUGCUAUUUUUCUUACAUGUUAAAAUCUUCUCUAAUUAACUGAUAAUUUAGAACUUAAAACCCUAUUCUAAGUAGUCUCAAAUAAACAGCUUCUUUUGUUUACUUUUGACAGGAUUGAAAUGCUGGAAAAAAAACAAUAACAGAAGUAAUUCUCUCUAUGUAUAUAUAGGUUUUUGUUAGGAAUGUUUUUUUUUUUUAAUGUAUUAUUAACCCUAGUUCUUGCAGGACACUGGCCUUCUGUGUUCUUCUUCCCCCCCUCCCUACCAUAUGUACUUAGUUAAUGUUAGAUAUGUAAUGUGCUUUUUAAAAUUAAUUUUAAUUUAAAAUAUAUUAAAAUGAUAUUUUAUUUUUAUUUUUUUAUAUUAAUGUAUCAAAAUCAUAUUAGAACACUUAAAAAAAUCAAUUUAAUGAUUUUUCAUGCAAAAAAAAAAAUUAAAAAGUACUUUAAAAAGUAAAAAUAAAUAUUUAUUUAGUAUCCAUUUGAUAUUGUGAUAGAUUUUGUUUUUGAAAUUAUUUUUUAUCUAAAAAAUUAAAUUAAUGUUUUUUAAAUAUUUUUUUUAUUUUAAUAUACUAAUAUAAAAAAAUUGAAAAUGUCGUAGGUUAAUUAUCAUGGUCUUCCAGUUAAUUACCUUUGAAAAGUCGUAGGCAAAAUAUAUUAAAACUAUCUAAAAAUAUUAUUUUAAUAAUUUUUUUAAAACAAAUUAAUUUAAAAAAUACUUAAAAAAGUAGAAAUGAACAAUCAUUUAGUGUCAUUUAAUAUUGCAAUAGCUUUUGUUAUUUUAAUUUUUUUAUCUAAAAAAUAUCAAAUUGAUAUUUUUCUAAAAAAUAUAAUUAACAUUUACAAAUCACACUACUAGUUUUGUAAUAUAUGUGUGUGUGUGUGUGGAAUUUGGAAAUGUCAACGGUCAAUUCUCAUGGUCUUACAAUUAAUUACCUUCUUUGAAAAGUCAUAGGCGACAAUUUGGGCAUUUAAAAAAGAAUGUCUUCGCAUACUCCAUAAUUCACGGGAUGUGUGGUUAUGGUUUUUUUUAAAAGUUUUUUAUUUAAAAAAAUAUAUUAAUAAUUAUUUUUAUUUUUUUAAAAUUAUUUUUUAGAGUAUAAUAUCAAAAUAAUUUAAAAAUAUAUUAAUUUUUUUAAAAAAAUUAAUUUUUUUAAAAAUAAUUUAAAAUACAGUACCAAACACGCCCUCAAACAACAACACAUUUGUCUGAUAGCUAGGGUGUGGGUGCAGGUGUAGUGGAAUACUGUAUGGUACUGCAGCGGGAGUCCUGCAUAAGCAGCACCACGUGCUUGAAUGUCCUUGAAAGAGACACAAACGGAAAGACCGGCAGACAAAGGCCAUUCCUAUGGGAAUCAUUUUGCACAAGAAAGAAUGCGAAAUGAUCCCUUCUUAAAUAAACAGAAAACUAAAACAUGAAAAAUUAAAAGAGAGAAUCCUCACCAUGAAUUCCUCAAUCGUAUCAAAGCCAAGAGCAACAUCACCCAGCUUUCCUGUCAAGUGUUCGUCAACAAGCAGACGUUAUCAGCACAAGAACUCGUAUUCUUGAACUUGAGAUGCUAUAUAUAAUAACAAACAGGAAAUCCAAGAGAUUGAAUUCACAAAAUGGAUCGAAGAAGACAACAUACCAUUUUUAUCAGGGAGAACAAGGGAGAUGAUACGGGCACCAUAAUUGGUAAGCUUCAUGCUUAGAUUACCCUUCUUGAGCUCGUAAAUCCCAAUCUCUCCCCCCAUUGCCGAGUCAAUACAGGCACAUCCAGAAAUUACCAGUACGAUAAAACAAAACAACGCAGAAAACUUGGUCAUCUUCUUCACGCAGAAUAUGAAACAGGCUCGGUCUUUUAUCUGAAGAUACGAGUCCUUAAUUAUAUGAGAGAUAUUUAUGGGUGCGCAUUGGAGUUGAACGUGUGAAAUAGAAAAUAAAGAUCGAGCGUUUCGACGAUAGCCUGUGGUGUUGACCUGGUAAUGGAUCAACACAACAAGAUUGUUAACUUCUCCAUUUGCGGACCCCGCCAUGAAAAGGAGACCAUGCAUGCUUGGCCCAAAGGGUGCUCAGUCACAGAUUGGACAUUUCUUUAGAAGCUCGUCCAUGGCCUUUCAUGAACUUAAUGGGCCCCUCAUUUUCAUCUCUCCAAGAAUUGUGCCCUCGUUAUGAUAGGCGUCAAGUGCUUGGCGAUAUUUCUGUGGAUCUUGUGUAAGCACGCUUUCAACUCUUGACUAUAGCAAUGCUAUCGUGUUCACGACUUGCCAACUCUUCAAAAUAUUCAGGCUUAACGUCUUGAAGAAUGCAAUGUAUUCCCAGAUGCAUAUUUUGGAUUACGCCAAGUGAAGAUGCUUAAAAAAAAAAUAAACAGACGUCCUUUGAGUCAAAUUUGAGACUCCUCUAUCGAAGUAUGUAAUCAUCGACAAACUCAUUUGUCCAUUGAUGUGUGGUAAACUCAAUCAUACUGAUAAUUUGGCGGAUGAUAUAGUAAUUAUGACCAAGGAAUUCUUUCUUCAACUGUUCUUAGCUAUGAUGGCGGUCGAGUCGGAUUAUAAAGUGUUUAUAAUGAAGACAUUAUAAUGUGACCUCAUAUUCUAGAACUAGAAAAUUAAUAUACACACAUGUAACAAAAUAUUCUAUCAAUAUAAAAAUUCUUAGAAAAUUAUUGUAUGUUUAUUGAUAUAAAAAUCAUCAAUGAAUUUACUGAUAAAAACUUAUCGUCGACAAGUAUCUCAUUGUUGAUAUCUUAUCCGUUAGUAAUUUUAUCGGUUAGUUUUAUACUGAAAAAUUAUUGCCAUAAGUGAUAAAAAUAGGUAUCGACCAUUGUCUGUUGACAUAUAUGAUGGUAAAUAUUACUGAUGGAUUAUCAACGAGUAAAUUCAUCGGUGAUAUAUUGUGUCACUAACGGAUUGGCCGACAUGUUUUGUUGGUGAAUCUGUCGGUUUAUAUCAAAACAAUUCACAACUCUCUACAAUUCUUUGAGAAAAGUGAUCCUAUUUGACCGACGGAAUCACUAACGAUUUUUUUUAUGUCCACCGGUGAUUUCAUUGGUGUUUUUAGUUAAAUAUUUUUUUUAAAAUGCUAUCAAACAAUGUAACAUUAAAACAACAUUAAACAAUAGUAAACAACUAAUUUAAAUUGAAAAACACAUUUUAUAUUAUUAAUUUAACUAUAUAAAUCAAUUACAAAUGCCUAUAUAUAUUAAUAAAAAGCUAGCUCUGCAGUUGAGGGGGAAAGGGAGGGGGAGGAAAAUCUCUUAGAGGUCUAUAAGGGGCAGGAUUAAGGUUGUUAAAAUCAUGAUUUUGACACGGUAAGGAAAAUGCAAUACAAACUCGGAUCGUAAAAUCAUAAAAUCCUAAGGAAUUUUAAAAUACAUUAACAAAAAAUUCAUGCUUCAUAUAAAAAUUCAUACAUAGUUCAAGCAUCUUAAAAUACAUACUUCAAAAAAAAUUCAUACAUAAUUUAAAUAACUUUUCAUUAGCUAAUAAUUAACAAACUUAAAAUAAACAAUCUGCUGGUGUGUCAUGUAAACUAAAACCAGCUUCAGUGCCUUCAUCUUCCUCAUUAUUCCUCAGACAUUCAUCAAUAUCAUUAGCAUCAAGAGGAUUAUUAGUGUCACUACUAAUACCAACACCAAUAUUAUGAACAUUAGUGCUACUACUAGUACCAACACCAAUAUCAUCAAUUUAAAUCUCCAAAUCAUCUUCAGUACCAUGACUCUCCAUUUCAGCAUCAUUAGGAAUUUCUUCUUCAUCACUUUCAUCUUCAUUACCAUUUUUUUUGUGUUGCACUGUCAAUAACCAAGCAAAUCAAUGUUUGAAUGUUUUUCUCCCUCGGUUAUCCAAUCAUCAUCAGAUGAAAGAUCAUCUUCUACACUAAAAUCAUCAGCUUGCUUUUUUACUUGAUUAUUAUUCAAUUUCAAAUUGUACAUUACAAAUACCAAGUCAUUCAUUUUUUCUGGUGCAAACAAUUUCUUCAUUUUGUAUGAACCUAAAUAAGCAAUUCAAAUUUAUAAGAUUUUUAUCAAAUAUUUCAAUAUUUAAAAUAAAAAAUUAAAAAAACUCACCAUUUCAAAUGCACUCCAGUUAUGCUCACAUCCAAAUGAAGUACAAGUCAAGCUUAAAACUCGAAUUGUAAACCUUUGUAAUUCUGGACAUUCAUUCCCAUAAGAAUCCCACCAUUGAGUUGGAGUUUUUUUUUUUUAUCUCUUGCUGUCUUGGCAGCCUCAAUGCCAAAUAACUUUUUUACAUCCUUGAAUAAUUCAAGUUGCAAGUCAAUUUUGCACCUUCCCUUGCAUUAGGCACCAUCAUUUCUUAGCAUUGAUAUAAUCCAAUUUUAAUGUUGGCAUUAACUUUAAAAUAAUAAAUCGCUGCAUGUAAUGGCCUGUGGAGUUGAAGUUCCCAUCUUUUAUCAACAAUAUUCCAUAUAGUUAUAUACCUAUAUAAAACAAAAACAAUAAAAAUAUUAUUACAAUUUAGAAAUAUCUCAAUUGGAAGUAUCUUUAAAGACAUUCAUAUUAAUAAAGGACAAUAUUUGAAAUAAAAAUUAGCAAGAUAUAUACCUUUUUUUCACAGAACCAAAAUUCACCUGUAUCUUCUCUUUUGCUUCAUCCAUUGCUUUAUAUAUAAAACCCAUAGCUGGUUUCUCAUCUGAAUCAACUAAUCAAAGAACUUUAAUUAGAGGAUAUGUGCCUUAAUACAUAUAGUGACAUCAUGCCAAAACCUGCUGUCCAAAACAUAAUUUUGAAUUCGUUUCCCUUCUUUUAUUCUUGCAAACUUACAUGAACUCCACUGUUUGGAAGUAAACAUAGUCAUCAGCUGCAUUUUAUGAUCAUUCAAACAUCCCAGAGUCAAAUAUGCAGUAGCAAACCAAGUGGCAACAGGUCUAAUCAAAUCCCUUCCUUUCGUAAAGUGCCUUAGCAUGAAAUAAGAAUAGUUCUUGAAUAAAUAUAUGAGGUGAUUCUCCUCCCCUUGGCAAUAGUUACUUGAUGAACCUCUAACUUCUUCUCAAAAUCUUCUAAUAUUAAGUCAAUACAAUGGGCAGCACAUGGUGUCCAAAACAAACUCUUUCUUUUUUCCAUCAAUAAUUGUCCCACUGCCUUAUAAUUUGCAGCAUUAUCGGUGACUACUUGGACAACAUUUUCCUCUCCAAUCCUUUCCACAAUGGCAUCUAACAUUUCAAAUACCUUAUCAGCAGUCUUGGACAUAUUAGAAGUAUCCACCGAUGACAAAAAAACUAUCCCUUUAGGAUUAUUAACCAAAAAGUUACAAAUACAACGUCUUUUUUUAUAUGUCCAUCCAUCAGACAUUAUUGAACAACCUGUUUUUUUUCUUUUUUCAUUCUAGCUUGUACUCCUCAAGCAAUGUCAUUGUUUUAUCCACUUCCUGCUUCAAAUACUUCUCUCUAAUAUCAUGUUAGGAUGGAGGCUUGAAACCUAGUCCAUGCUUUGCAACUAAUUCAAGUGCCUUUACAAACUCAGGGUUUUUUACACAAUUAAAUGGAAUUGCACUAGUGUAGAAAAACCUUGCAAUUUGUCGACAUGCUUCUUCUCUAAUAUCCUUUUUUAGCAAUUGAUUUAGAGUUGUUUGUGUACUUCCACUCCCAUUAACUACUCUCUUUCCUUUGUCUUUGGAGCUAAUUUCUUUUAUUUCAUCAUCAUCAUCAUUUGCACUAUAUUGAUGGGCCUUUCUUUUCUUUUCAUUUGCUUCUAGAUUUUUCACCAAAACACCCAAAAUCAUUUACUUAACAUUUUCUGGAACUUGCUGACAUUGCUCAACAUCAUUACGAGUGCAAGCCAAAUGCUGUUUGAAAUGAAAAAUACCUCAACUGAUAAUUUUUUGACAAUACUUGCACUGAACUUUUCUAGAAUUCUUAUCAAUAUAUAUACCAUGUUGCCAUCCCACAUCAAGUUUAUUACCAGAAGAAUUUUUUCUAGAUGCCAUAAGUUCAAGUGUUCAACAAUUCAAGAAUCAACUCAAAUCAACCCUGUAAUCAAUCCAAACAUUUUAUGAUUGUAAUUAACUUUUUGUUAUACAUAACAAUUCACAAAACUAUAAUACUGAAAUGGAAUCCUAAAAUCAUUACAUCAUUCCACAGUUUAAAUGGAUAGCCCACAACCCCAUACUCCACAAAGCAAAAAACAUGAUUUAAUGAUUUUAAUUUUCACCCAAUUAAUUCAAUUCAAUUCAGUCUAAUUAAUUCAGUCCUAUAAUACUGAAAUGACAUUCAAUUCAGUCCAAUUCAACAAUUUUCAAUCCAAUUUUCACCCGAUCAAUUCCAUUCAAUUCAAUUCAACAUUAUAAAUAUAUAAAUUACAGGACCGGGCAAAAUCAAAACUAUAAUUAAUAAUUACAGGGUAACAUGGAAAAAUAAAAAUCUAUUACAGGGGAUAUACAAUUAUGAUUUGCGGGGAAAAAUCAACUACUAUAGUUUUACAUUUUGAAGGAAAAAUCAACUUACAGUGAAGAGGAGCCGUUGAAGCUGAACGGCUGCCGGUGAAGAGGAGCGAUGUCGCCUGCUGCUGUUGAUGAAGAGGAAGCCGUCAACUGUUGAUGAUGGGAAAGAAAGGAGAUCAUUGUCGGCGUGCCGCUGUUAAUGAAGAUUGAAGAGGAAGCCUGAAGCCCUGAGCUGUUGAGGAGAUCAUCGUCGUUGUUGAUGAAAAGGAAGUCACGACCGUGAGCACUGAUGACUGGACUUUGAAGUGAAGACUGGAGUGAGGAAAGAGAAGGAGUGAAGAGGACCGUGACCGUGACCGUGAUCGUCGCCACUUUUAUGAUUGCCGGUGCUUGGUUGGUUAAUUAGAGAAGGGGAUUAGGGAUUUGUUCGAUGAAAAGGAGGAGUGAAUAUUGAAGAGUGAAGACUGCUUUUGUGACUAGAGUGAAGACCUCGUGGCAUGACUUGCAUUUCCACAACCAAUAAGCGCCUGACAGCUGAAGCAUGGGGGAACAUUUUGUUUCAGUGCAUGUGUUUUGUUGCAAUCGUAAAAUUAGUCCUGAAAUCGUGAUUUUGUGUGAUUUCACCCGAUUUCAACCUGAUUUCACCCAUUUUUUUAUUUUUUCAAACGAUUCAGCACAUAAAGCAUGUUUUGACUCGUAAAAUCGUAUGAUUUUACAAGUCAAAACGCGAUUUUAACAACCUUGGUCCCCACCACCCAAUUCUAGAAAAAGAGAAAACAUCAAUUGUUUGGUAAGAGAGAGAGAGAGAGAGAGUAUAGAGAGUAUGAAUUUUAAGGAAAAUGGGGGAAAGUAAGAGAUUUCCUUAUAUAUUUGGAUUUGAAUUCAUCGAUGAGAUUUUCUUUUGAUAAGUUUGUUAGUGAUUUAACAUGUUAGCACAUCACUAAUGAAAUCGUCGACAAGAUAUUUUCAAUAAUCAAUGAAUUUGUCGGUCAUUUCAAAAAUCUAUAAAAUCUUUUGAAAAUCCUUAAAUUCAUCGACGAAUUUCCAUCUGUAUAUAUUUUCAUUAGUGAAUCCAAUCCUAUGAAUUCUUCAUUAAACUCGUAUCAUUCUUUUAAUGAUUUUAUUGUCCAUUGAUGAGUUUGUUCCUGAUUACAAUAUUAUCGAUGUAAUCUUUUGUCACCGUUGAAUUUGUCUAUUGGUUAAAUCCCCUAAAUACUUCCCAAAACUCUCUAUAUUUCUCUAAUGAUUUUUGCAACUGUUAGUGAGUACAAUAUCAUCAAUGGAAUUUUAAUUGCCGGUGUAUCCAUCUAUUGGUUAAAAAUCUUGAAUGCUUUUAUAAACUCUCUGGAAUUCUCCAAUGAUUUUAAUUGUUGAGUUACAACAUCACCAACAAAAUUAUAUCCAACUCUCUAUAAUUCUCUAAUGAUUUUAGCGUCCAUCAAUUAGUCUAUCGAUAAGUUAAAUCAACGAUGGAGUCACCAAUGGUUAUUUAAUAUUUUUUUUAUUUUUGUUGGCUAUGACAUUAGUGAAGUUUUAAAUUUUAUUUUCUUAUUUAUUGGUUAUAAUCCUUAUUUAGCCUCAUUAAGCAACAAUAACAUCUACAUUCAUAACAUAUUCAACAACUCAUUAAAACUACAAACAAAGCAACAAACACUAGAUAAAAUUAAAAAGUACAAUGCAUUAUAUAAUGACAAAAAUAUCUUAAUUACACAAUGAUAUUUUAUAUCUAAAAUCAGUUCAAAUAUAUCUCAUCAUCUUUAUUUUCAAUAAAUAUCUUACGAGCAAUAUAAUCUAUUCAGCGAUUAUUCAUUCAUUUUCUAGAACAAUAUAUUGCAUCAGACAACAGAAAGAAGAAACGACAUCCUCCGACUUUGAAACUACAGAAAAAGCAGUCUCGAAACACGUACAUAAUGUACUUGUUGUGUUUUUGUCGUGAAAAUUAUCUAGAAAGUAGAGAACUUGAAUAACAUGUAAUGCUUGUACAGCUUCCCUGGAUUCACAAUCUGUGAAGGGAAGUUGGGAUGGUUAACAGAAUCAGGAAAUCCUUGAGUCUCUAGACAUAGAGCUCCAUGAGGUUUAUACAUAAAACCACCUUUUCCCUUCACGUUCAAAGUGUUGCUAGUGAAUAACUGCACACCAGGUUGAUUGGUUAAUAUCUCCAUUGCUCUUCCAGACUUCUCGUCAUGCACAAUUGCUGCUUUUCUCAACUUCUUGUUUC